CUGCUAUCUUGGAUUUGGGGCCUAUGACAGAUCAAAGGACUUUUCCCCCCUCAAAUAUACAAUAAAGAUUUACAAUGGACCUCCAAACGGUAACACAUCAAAUGGCGUGCCUGCAUAGCCUCCAGC